UACAGAGGGCUCAAGCGUUGUUCGGAUUCAUUGGGCGUAAAGGGUGCGUAGGCGGCGCGGUAAGUCGGGUGUGAAAUUUCGAGGCUUAACUUCGAAACUGCAUUCGAUACUGCCGUGCUUGAGGACUGGAGAGGAGACUGGAAUUUACGGUGUAGCGGUGAAAUGCGUAGAUAUCGUAAGGAAGACCAGUGGCGAAGGCGGGUCUCUGGACAGCUCCUGACGCUGAGGCACGAAGGCCAGGGGAGCAAACGGG
rnacentral:rRNA from 1 species